GGCGGUAUGCUUAACACAUGCAAGUCGAACGGUGUCUUCGGACAUAGUGGCGGACGGGUGAGUAACGCGUGAGAAUCUAGCUUCAGGUCUGGGACAACCACUGGAAACGGUGGCUAAUACCGGAUGUGCCGGAAGGUGAAAGGCUUGCUGCCUGAAGAUGAGCUCGCGUCCGAUUAGCUAGUAGGUGGGGUAAGAGCCUACCUAGGCGACGAUCGGUAGCUGGUCUGAGAGGAUGACCAGCCACACUGGGACUGAGACACGGCCCAGACUCCUACGGGAGGCAGCAGUGGGGAAUUUUCCGCAAUGGGCGAAAGCCUGACGGAGCAAUACCGCGUGAGGGAGGAAGGCUCUUGGGUUGUAAACCUCUUUUCUCAGGGAAGAACACAAUGACGGUACCUGAGGAAUCAGCAUCGGCUAACUCCGUGCCAGCAGCCGCGGUAAUACGGAGGAUGCAAGCGUUAUCCGGAAUGAUUGGGCGUAAAGCGUCCGCAGGUGGCUGUGUAAGUCUGCUGUCAAAGAGCAAAGCUCAACUUUGUAAAGGCAGUGGAAACUACACGGCUAGAGUGCGUUCGGGGCAGAGGGAAUUCCUGGUGUAGCGGUGAAAUGCGUAGAGAUCAGGAAGAACACCGGUGGCGAAGGCGCUCUGCUAGGCCGCAACUGACACUGAGGGACGAAAGCUAGGGGAGCGAAUGGGAUUAGAUAC
rnacentral:rRNA from 1 species